rnacentral:rRNA from 1 species
GUUAAUCGGGGCAGGGUGAGUCGACCCCUAAGGCGAGGCCGAAAGGCGUAGUCGAUGGGAAACGGGUUAAUAUUCCCGUACUUGGUGUUACUGCGAAGGGGGGACGGAGAAGGCUAUGUUGGCCGGGCGACGGUUGUCCCGGUUUAAGCGUGUAGGUGUGUGUUCCAGGUAAAUCCGGUUCACUUUAACACUGAGGCGUGAUGACGAGGCACUACGGUGCUGAAGCAACAAAUGCCCUGCUUCCAGGAAAAGCCUCUAAGCAUCAGGUAACAUCAAAUCGUACCCCAAACCGACACAGGUGGUCAGGUAGAGAAUACCAAGGCGCUUGAGAGAACUCGGGUGAAGGAACUAGGCAAAAUGGUGCCGUAACUUCGGGAGAAGGCACGCUGACACGUAGGUGAAGUGAUUUACUCAUGGAGCUGAAGUCAGUCGAAGAUACCAGCUGGCUGCAACUGUUUAUUAAAAACACAGCACUGUGCAAACACGAAAGUGGACGUAUACGGUGUGACGCCUGCCCGGUGCCGGAAGGUUAAUUGAUGGGGUCAGCGCAAGCGAAGCUCCUGAUCGAAGCCCCGGUAAACGGCGGCCGUAACUAUAACGGUCCUAAGGUAGCGAAAUUCCUUGUCGGGUAAGUUCCGACCUGCACGAAUGGCGUAAUGAUGGCCAGGCUGUCUCCACCCGAGACUCAGUGAAAUUGAACUCGCUGUGAAGAUGCAGUGUACCCGCGGCAAGACGGAAAGACCCCGUGAACCUUUACUAUAGCUUGACACUGAACAUUGAGCCUUGAUGUGUAGGAUAGGUGGGAGGCUUUGAAGUGUGGACGCCAGUCUGCAUGGAGCCGACCUUGAAAUACCACCCUUUAAUGUUUGAUGUUCUAACGUGGACCCGUGAUCCGGGUUGCGGACAGUGUCUGGUGGGUAGUUUGACUGGGGCGGUCUCCUCCUAAAGAGUAACGGAGGAGCACGAAGGUUGGCUAAUCCUGGUCGGACAUCAGGAGGUUAGUGCAAUGGCAUAAGCCAGCUUGACUGCGAGCGUGACGGCGCGAGCAGGUGCGAAAGCAGGUCAUAGUGAUCCGGUGGUUCUGAAUGGAAGGGCCAUCGCUCAACGGAUAAAAGGUACUCCGGGGAUAACAGGCUGAUACCGCCCAAGAGUUCAUAUCGACGGCGGUGUUUGGCACCUCGAUGUCGGCUCAUCACAUCCUGGGGCUGAAGUAGGUCCCAAGGGUAUGGCUGUUCGCCAUUUAAAGUGGUACGCGAGCUGGGUUUAGAACGUCGUGAGACAGUUCGGUCCCUAUCUGCCGUGGGCGCUGGAGAACUGAGGGGGGCUGCUCCUAGUACGAGAGGACCGGAGUGGACGCAUCACUGGUGUUCGGGUUGUCAUGCCAAUGGCACUGCCCGGUAGCUAAAUGCGGAAGAGAUAAGUGCUGAAAGCAUCUAAGCACGAAACUUGCCCCGAGAUGAGUUCUCCCUGAGACUUUAGGUCUCCUGAAGGAACGUUGAAGACGACGACGUUGAUAGGCCGGGUGUGUAAGCGCAGCGAUGCGUUGAGCUAACCGGUACUAAUGAACCGUGAGGCUUAACCUU